CUCUACCUAGUCUAGUGUCUAGGAUUCCUGGUUUUCAUUCAGGCUGCCCAGGUUCAAUUCCUGAGCAGAGA
rfam:Sus scrofa chromosome X.